UACAGAGGUGGCAAGCGUUGUUCGGAAUUACUGGGCGUAAAGCGCGCGUAGGCGGUUGUGUAAGUUGGAUGUGAAAUCCCCGGGCUUAACCUGGGAAUGGCAUUCAAAACUGCACGGCUAGAGUGUGGGAGAGGAAGGUAGAAUUCCAGGUGUAGCGGUGAAAUGCGUAGAGAUCUGGAGGAAUACCGAUGGCGAAGGCAGCCUUCUGGCCUAACACUGACGCUGAGGUGCGAAAGCAUGGGGAGCAAACAGG
rnacentral:rRNA from 1 species